AGGAGCCAUUCUUACCUCCCCUUGCGAAGCCAAUUAUGAUAUCCGCAGUCCCCCAACUAACCCUCUUGAAGUUCAGUGGGAUCUGCAUACUCCACAUUCUGAGAGCUUUUUUCACGAUUUGAUCCACUACGAUCCGAGGAGUUGGAUUAUGGAAAGGUCAAAGAUUGGGACGGCUGAGACUACAGCUCCUGCCUUGAAGCUCCACUAUGGAUGGUGGGCAUUGCUACAGGUGCAUAAACACAGAACACUUCGCGCAGCAAGGCUUGAAGAACAGCGGUGCAGUAUUCAAUCUUUAAACCUGUGUCAGCAGAUCACAGUUUGCACCAGGCAAGGGUUAAAGCAGCGGACAGAGGACUGGAAGAUGGUGGAGGUGAUCCUGAGAAACAGGCCAGGCAAGGGCAGCCACUGCUGUGGUAAGGACUUUGCCAACAAGACUACAGAAGAAUUUAUGUGCAGCAAUAAUCAUGAGCCUUUUGAGUCAAUAAGUAAAUUGUGAAAUGAACCAAAGAAUAAAUAUAUCUGGCAG
ensembl:antisense AV064505 expressed sequence AV064505